AUGAACACCUACUGUGUGCCAGCCAAUAAGCUGGAUUCUGGGAGCACAGAACUAAAUGCAAAUGUAAUUCCUACUUUCAAGCUUCUCACAGUUUUGCCUGGAAGGUCAUCUAUGUGCCAAAGGAUGUCAUGCCCUCCUUGUCAAGAACAAGAAACAGGUUUGGGGAAGCCUGGAAGAUACUCACCAAUGGGAUGGUGUGGCAAGUUUGGUGGUUCAGCCAUGGCAGAAAGGAACUAAGGACCACUGUGCAUCUCCUGAGGGCAAAACAACUUUGGAUGCUUUGUGUUUGUGAUGAACAAUGACUACCUAGGGUGGCUCCUGUGAUCCUUCAUUGGAAGCUCUGAGGAGGGAGUAAAUUGCAAAAAGGAUCCAGGUGGUGACUGGCAAUCAGGACUGGUGAUCAGGUCUGCUAAACCUCAGAGUCUGGCAUUAUUUCAUACCUGACAUGUCUCUCUCUACCCAGGCCAUACAAUUUCCAAAUCAUUCCCCAAAAGAUGCCAGAUUUAUGAGCAGAAAUGGAUUGACUAUAACAUGUUCCUCCUAUAGGAAAAACAACUCCGAGUGCACAUCUUAAUGACAGUGAGUCUGCAGUGUCAUCUACAUAUCCCAGGACAACAUAACACCCACAGUAGAUAACCCUUAAUUACAGGACAACAACUUUGUAUAAGGCGCUGGGCUGAGCACUCUAUACACAAGAUCUUGUUUCAUCUUAUUAUUAUCUCUAUUUUGUAGGUAGUUAAGUAACUUACCCAAGUCAUAAGUAAAACCAAAUCAUUUGACUCCAGAAUUCAAACUUAAUGCCUGUAUUCCAGACCACUGGCGUAUAGUUCUUCAUUGCCUCUCUGUGAAGAAAAAACACCAGUGGGACUGUUGUCUGAGAAAAUGCCUCCAUGAGGCAGCCAACCUCAGUACCUUGCAGAUUUUUCCAAUUCUAAUUUUCAGGUCCUGUUUCAGUUACCUGUGUGGAUGGUAAUAGCCUGAUACACCGGUAUGAAUAAAACAGGUGUCCCAUCCCCUAAGCA
rnacentral:lncRNA from 1 species